CAGAGUUCUCAAUUCCAAAUGAAGACUUCUCUCAGCCGGCAACAAGAGAACCCAUUAUAAGCACCUAAUCUCUCUGUUAGGGUUGGCAGAUAAAUUUGAGUUUCAGCAACCCUGCUAGUCCUCCCACUAGCCUUGGAGACUGCCGCCUCCUGACCCGUCACAGGCCCCGGUCCUGCAAAGCUGGUACGAUCGGCGCCCUAAGGGAGCAGCAGGGCCUCCUCCCCCGUUUCAGAGGCGACCAUGCUGAGGCUGGGAGAAGUGCAGUGCCUCGUCUGGGGUCAAACAGUGAUCCGGGCGCAGAGGAGGAAUCCCAGCCCUGACCGGUCCCGCUCCAAGUUCAAGGUCUCCGCGCUGACGCCCCUGGGCAAACCCCGGACCCCCCGCGCGGGCGGGGCUCGCGGGCGGUUUCCGCCCCGCGGAUCGCGCCGGAGGAAAAGGCGAGCGCGAGCCUGCGGGCGCGGGGCAGGCAGCAUUUGGGGCUAGAAUAUUCUAAGUGGUUUUGAAACCCAGCGCCUGUGAGUAAUAAUCCCAACCCUCGUCAUUUGCAUAGCUCUUUCUGGUUGACAAAGGGUGUCCCCAGCAGUGCAUUAGAAUCAUAGAGAAAGCAGACAGGAGAGGGCUGGCUGGCGGGCCCCGCGGGCACUGGGCCGCUUCCUGCGCGCUCCUCGCGCUGACCCUGAGCCGCUUCCCGGGCCCCGGGCUUAGAGACCGGGAACCCCAGGCUGGGGACGCGCAUCGGGGGUUGGGCGUGCGCUCCGGGCCGGGUGCGGGUCCCAGCUCUGCCGCCGCCCGCGCGGGGUGCGAGCGUGUGAGUGUGUGAGCGUGUGCGGUCCCUGCCACUUCCCCGGCCCGUGCUCCAGGCCGCGGGGACCUGUCUGUGCUCCCGGCGACCGGCCGAAAGGUGGCUGGGCCGGACUUGGAUGUGGGGACCUGAGAGCCCGGCCCGGAGGUGAGGAUUCUUUCGGAUCCUUUACCUCAAGUUCUCACCUGCAGUUGGCAGAGGCGGCGAAAUACUUGAGUUUUGAGUUUUUCUUCUCCUUUUUACGUGCCCUGUGCGGCGGGGGGUGGGGAUGCGCUUUGGGCCACCAGGGUUUUCAGGCUGCCCGGGAACUCUUAAAGGAACAUUAGGGGAUCUUUCUGAAAAGCUAAAAACAAACAAACGCGUUUGAAAAUAAAGUCCUGUGGAUAAUCUCCCCACACAA